rnacentral:rRNA from 1 species
UCCUACGGGAGGCAGCAGCCGUGGUAAUACGGGAGCCAGCAGCCGCGGUAAUACGGGAGCCAGCAGCCGCGGUAAUACGGGAGCCAGCAGCCGCGGUAAUAGCCAGCAGCCGCGGUAAU